rnacentral:rRNA from 1 species
UUCGCAAUGCCCGAAAGGGUGACGAAGCGACGCCGCGUGGAUGAAGAAGGCCUUCGGGUUGUAAAAUCCUGUCAGGAGUUAUGAAAUGUAAGUACGCUAAUAUCGUGCUUAUUUGACAAAGGCUCCAAAGGAAGCCACGGCUAACUCUGUGCCAGCAGCCGCGGUAAUACAGAGGCGGCGAGCGUUGUUCGGAAUUAUUGGGCGUAAAGAGCACGUAGGUGGGUUUGCAAGUCAGAUGUGAAAGCCUUCUGUUCAACGGAAGAACUGCAUCUGAAACUGCUAAUCUUGAGUAUAGGAGGGGAGGAUGGAACUUCUGGUGGAGCGGUGAAAUGCGUAGAUAUCAGAAGGAACGCCGGCGGCGAAAGCGAUUCUCUGGCCUAUUACUGACACUCAGUGUGCGAAAGCUAGGGGAGCAAACGGGAUUAGAUACCCCGGUAGUCCUAGCCGUAAACGAUGGGCACUAAGUAGAGGGGUUUUA